rnacentral:lncRNA from 1 species
CAACCAUUGCAAUCGGCCUGUUCAAUCCAUUUUCGCACCCUGGGGGCUGCUUUGUGUGGCUCAACAUCUCCUCCCCACCUCCAGAGCACCAGCAAUUCCCCUGGCAUCCCAGGAAAUGGAUUUCCUGAUCAUGUCCCAGCACUGGAAUCCUGGAACCCUGCCACAAUUAAGAUCACUUGUUCCCUUUGUUUGGGCAUCUCUUCUUCAGAGCAGACUGGGCAAGAGCCACUGCAGCACUUCAAAAGGAGAGUUCACGCAUGGGUAAAGGUCCUUUAAAAUGGGAUUAAAAAUUCACAUUUUUGCCUUGCAUUUUUUUGAUGUUUCUAAUCAAACCUAUCCUGAGACAGAGAGGAGGAUGGGCUGAACUUGCUGUUUUUCAGUGAUAAGACAUGGGGAGCUUUUGGUGGCUAUUUCUAAUCAGCUUUUUCUUUUUUUUUUUUUAAUUUCUAAAAAUAAAAUCCCUUCUCUGAAGCACCUAUCUGAAGUCCAAAAGAUGCCAUUGAAAACGUAGAGUUUUCAAUUAAAAAAACAAAAUCAGAAAAGAUAUAUAUGCAUCAUUUUCUCCACAUCAUUUCACUUUCACCAGACUGGCUACACCAAAAUUUUUCUGUUUCCACCAAGUCCUAACCAAAACCUGGCCAGGUUUAACACUCUAAAAUCCCAUUUUAGAUCUGCCCACGAUGCCCAAAACCUCAAGGGCUCCUCUCUGCCUUCCUGCCCCGUCGAAGCGGAUCCUUGGAUUGCUCUGCCUGCUGAAAUCGUUAUUUCCAGCGGGGUAUCCCAAGGGAUUUGGUGCUCAGCAGCAGCUGAGUGAAACCUCAGAGCUGCCCUGGUUAUUCCCAUUUCUGGAAGCUGUGGAGUCAGGUCCUUCUAAGGACAGCGUUGGGAUGCUGAAGAUUUGGGAAGGAGCAGAUUCCAACUCAUCAGUGGGAUGGGAACACAACUCCAGCUGCACAUCCAGUUGGAAAAGGACAAAAAAAAAUGCAGAAAUAUUUGAAUUCACCUGACCUUGUGGAGACUUCCUCCUGCUGGCUUCUGUGAGGAGAGGAGCAGACCCUGGAAUCCAGAAGGUGGGACCUUAUCCUGCUCCAAGGACCUUAAUCCCACCUCAUCUCAAACCUCCACCAAAGUUUUGGGUCAAAGGGCCUUGUGCAGCAAGGGCAAAGCUGCUGUGAGUAACUGAAGUUUGGGAAUUAUAUUUAUUUCCUAUUCCAAGCUAAAAACUGGCUCAUUAGAAACCUUUCUUUAGCUUGCAGGGAACUCACACAUCAAUAUCUUGCUUAUUAAAAUUUGUUUCCUUGGAAAUAUGGCAUCCAUGAUGGAUGCCAAUCCAUAAGGAUAUUUUGUUUUCAAAGGAAUUUGGAAAAAAAAUAAAAUUAAUAAUGUUCCUAAUGUUCCCUUUUAG